GGGCGGCUCUGAGGGAGCGGACCGGGGGUGCUCGGAGCCGCGCGGCAGCGCCUGAGGCGGACGCUCAGCUGUCCCCGGAGCCUUGGGGGCCCGACGGGAGAAGGCGACGCUCGCUUCGUGGAGGAGCUCGGCCAGGGACAGGUAUUCAAGAUGAUUCAGUAGUCUCAACAUGGAUCAGCUCAGAUCCUGACAGUUAAGGAAAGUAAGGCAUCUAAAGCCUCCUUCAAGUGCUAUACAACAGUUGCAGUAGUCAAUGCCUUUUGCCAACCAGGAAGUCCUUAUAAAGCUGGAAAGAGGUUUCCAAAGGACUUUUCGCUUUCUUGCACGUGAUAGCGGGGGACACUGUCUUCGUACCUGGAACGCCGGAAGAACCCGCACUGCGCAGAGAAGGAAAAGAACAGUGUAGGUGUAAGUUGCUGCCAAAGUACUACAACUGUAGAGGCAGUAAAAUUCUUCUUUGACACAAAAUAUGCAGGUAAGAAAAUUGAAAACAAAAGUAUGUAGGCCAAAAAUGUAGCAUAUUUAGCUGUAAAAAUGUGAGCCAAGAGUCUGCAUUAGCUGUUCAGCAGCAGUUAAGACAAAGGGCAUGCUCUGACUAUACACGGUAACCAAAUCCCUUAAAAAGAUUCCCUCCAGUUACAAAAGCUGUUCAUUCACCUAAAGAGGACACUUACUGCUACACACAGGAAAGCUGAUUCUGCUGAAUCACAGGUAGGUACGUACUUCAGUGUCUGUAUGGUGACAUGAUUUACCCUUAAUAACCUACAGGAAGAUUUCCAGAGCAUUGAAGAAAAGUUACCCUAAGAGCCUCGGUUUUCAAAGCACCAUUUCCACUUCAGUCACCUGAACUAACGACACAUGCGCUGUAUUAGAUGAAAUCUGUAACAGCUUGUUUGUGUUCUGCAAUGUUUUAGUCAAAGCUGCUGUGAAAACUGAUUUUGAAUAUCAAGGAAUGGACUAAAAUUAAUUUCCAAAACAAAAGGGAGCUAUGGCCACAAUAUUAUAAAGAUAAUGAUAGGUAUAGCUUCACAUCCUCAUGGAUCGAUUCAGGUUAAGAGACAUUGUGCCAUCCAGCUGUCAUUAGAUACUGCUUGGGGUAAGAACAUGCUAAAGUGGACAAGGUUUUGUUCAUAGUAUUUAGGGUGCUGGAUUUUUUGGUUUGGUUUGGUCAAUGGUUUGGGGUUUUUUUAAAUAUUAGAACUUAGAUGGAAUUGAAUUAAAAAAAAAUUACAGUGAGCAAAGACCAAAUCUUUAGCCAUCUCAUAGUUUCAUUAAACAGUUUUGAAAUAAUUCAUAAAUAAUUCCCCCCACCCCCUCAUCCCAAGCACACUUAUGGAUACAAUGAACAUGUAUGUAAUAUCUUAAGUGGAAUAAAGGUUGCUGGAAGCAUAAAUAUCAUGCAUCUUGUAACUUCAGCAAAGUGUUUUCCUAGAGAAGUGCACCUUGGAACUCAAGUAAAACAGAUGUUUCCACAGCAAUAAAUUCUCACUAUGAAAAGCCUUCUCCAAUGUAAGCAACAUGUAUCUUUCAGCAUGCACUAAAGGUUAGUAAAGCAAAUUUAUGUAUCGUCCACGUAGUCUUAGCUUUACAUCUUAACUCUACAGUGUUGAUUCCCAUCUUGCAAGCUUAAAGAUGUACUUGUAAUGUUAAAGCAUAAAUUUAAAAAAAUACUAAAGCCCAAUGCAACAGAUCACCAUGUUUUAAAAAAAAAAUAAAUAAGAAGCAUUUUAGACCAGGGUCAACCUCUGUGUGUUCACAUGCACCAAAAGCUGAAAAUCUAUUGACAGAAGGAGCAAGCAAGUAUGAUAGCUUGAAAUCCACGAGUUAAUAGAACUUAUGCAGAAAAAGCUUCACAGUUAGCCACUGCAACCAUAGCAUGUGCCACAGCUAGAAAUUAAAAAAUAUCAUCAGUUACCAAUUACAGAAGUAGAUCAGUACUAUGCAUCAGAAGUAAGCCUCUCUUUAUCAGAUGGCUGAGCAUGGAUCUCAGCCUUGUGAUAUGUGGCAUCGUAAUGAUCUUUCUUAUUUCUCUUGAAGAAACCACACUACAAGGAAGCAAGGUAUUUAGUCAAUUUUGUGGACUGGAAGAAGUCAAACCUAUUAAAACUGACUUAACUCUGUCAAUUGUGUUCCCAUUAUCCCUUCACAGGUUGAAAAUAAAAUCAUCACAAGAGCUCAGCUGUUUCUAAAUCUUGAGAACUUCUUGGGGUAACUUGAUCUAUACAA